UACGGAGGGUGCGAGCGUUAUCCGGAAUUACUGGGUUUAAAGGGCGCGUAGGCGGCUUUUCAAGUGACGGGUGAAAUCCCUCGGCUUAACCGAGGAACUGCCUGUCAGACUGGAAGGCUUGAGACCGGGAGAGGUGAGUGGAAUUCCCAGUGUAGCGGUGAAAUGCGUAGAUAUUGGGAGGAACACCAGUGGCGAAGGCGGCUCACUGGACCGGAACUGACGCUGAGGCGCGAAAGCGUGGGGAGCAAACAGG
rnacentral:rRNA from 1 species